rnacentral:rRNA from 1 species
UACGGAGGAUGCAAGCGUUAUCCGGAUUUAUUGGGUUUAAAGGGUGCGCAGGUUGUUUGAUAAGUCAGUGGUGAAAGUCUGUCGCUUAACGGUAGGAUUGCCAUUGAUACUGUUAGACUUGAAUAUGGAUGAGGUAGGCGGAAUGUGUAGUGUAGCGGUGAAAUGCAUAGAUAUUACACAGAACACCGAUUGCGAAGGCAGCUUACUAAUCCAUCAUCGACGCUGAGGCACGAAAGCGUGGGGAUCAAACAGGA